rnacentral:lncRNA from 1 species
GAAAAUCACUUGUUCAAUGGUAUUGGCCCAAAAUGACAUAUAAUGUUUCUUCUUGGCACAUGCAUUUGCAAGUUGAAUUUGGACUUCCUAUAAACAUAAAAGUUAAAGUAGACAUCUUUAGUUUGAUCAUUAAAUUUUAAUGGCCUUCAUCUCAUACAAAAUGAGCAAGUUAUGAUCUUGGGAAGUUGACCUCCAAGUUAGGGUUUAGACAAAAUGACCUUUAAUCUUUCACCUUAAAAAAUG